CAAAACAAAACAAACAUAAAAACAAACCCCAAAACAACCCAAGUGGGGAAAAUGAUAAAAACCAACAGCAAAGGUUGACUGAGCCCAGCACUGCAGGCUUUCUGGGUAUGUCUUCUCCUAUUUUUUAGUUGGGUCUCAGGUUGUAUAGACAUAAGGUGGUAAGAGGGCCAUGGUAGACAUUCCUGUCAUCUGUGGCUCUGUGUGUGUGGUGCCUCUGGCUUCUUGUGGGCAACAAGGGUGGAUGGAACCGGUUUGGGACAAGACUUACGGAAGACCAGUACUGUGGAGUUAGCUGUGAAGGGAAGGUCAGUGGUUCAGGGACCCGUAGGUCCUGUGCUGUUUGCAUCUGAUACCCAUGUUCAAGGUCUCUGAGAUGGUGUUGGGAGUGGAGGGUUCUUUCUGCAGUCAUAUUUAAGGUGGCCUGUGGUCCAUUUCAGAACCCUGUCACAGUGUAUCUGCAGCACACGUCCUUCAUGUGUCAGGUCCUCAAAUGCUGACAGUCAGCUUAUGACAACUGUAUUUGACGGUCACAGCAGUGUAGUGAGGAACAUCCAGUCAUGCUUAGGGGAAGAGUAGACUGUUCUGGUUUAGAAGGUAGUCUCAGGGAUCCUGUGAUAAACAGGACCCACCUUCCUAGUUUUUUUCUUUUUUCUUUUUAGAUAAUAUCUUUCCAUAUAGCCCAGGUUAGCUUGAACCUCAUGAUCUUCCUUCCUUCCCAGUACUGGAAUUACUGGUAUAUGUGGCCACAGUCAGUGUGGGAAUUCUAGUUCAAUUCUUGUUACACCUACUCUACAAAGUAGCAUUUCAAGACGUGGCUCCACUCAUAAGCUUUACAAACACUGCUGCCUUUCUGCCCCUUUAUUGCCAAAAAAAAAAAAAAAAAAAGCCAAAACAAAACAAAAUGAAAAAAACAAAACAAAAAAAAAAAAAAAAA
rnacentral:lncRNA from 1 species